GCCUACGGGAGGCAGCAGUGGGGGAUAUUGCGCAAUGGGCGAAAGCCUGAUGCAGCGACGCCGCGUGAGGGAAGACGGUCUUCGGAUUGUAAACCUCUGUCUUUGGGGAAGAAAAUGACGGUACCCAAAGAGGAAGCUCCGGCUAACUACGUGCCAGCAGCCGCGGUAAUACGUAGGUGGCGAGCGUUGUCCGGAAUUACUGGGUGUAAAGGGAGCGUAGGCGGGAGAGCAAGUCGACUGUGAAAUCUAUGGGCUUAACCCAUA
rnacentral:rRNA from 1 species